rnacentral:rRNA from 1 species
CCUACGGGAGGCAGCAGUGGGGAAUAUUGGACAAUGGGGGGAACCCUGAUCCAGCGACGCCGCGUGAGUGAAGAAGUAUUUCGGUAUGUAAAGCUCUAUCAGCAGGGAAGAAAGAAAUGACGGUACCUGACUAAGAAGCCCCGGCUAACUACGUGCCAGCAGCCGCGGUAAUACGUAGGGGGCAAGCGUUAUCCGGAUUUACUGGGUGUAAAGUGAGCGUAGACGGCGAUGCAAGUCUGAAGUGAAAGGCGGGGGCGCAACCCCCGGACUGCUUUGGAAACUGUAUGGCUGGAGGGCAGGGGAGGUAAGUGGAAUUCCUAGUGUAGCGGUGAAAUGCGUAGAUAUUAGGAAGAACACCAGUGGCGAAGGCGGCUUACUGGACUGUAACUGACGUUGAGGCUCGAAAGCGUGGGGAGCAAACAGGAUUAGAUACCCCUGUAGUC